UAAUAAAUCAAGAUUUAUACUGAAACUACAUAGAAAAAGUGGUGAUUCUGAGAAACAUAGAUGUUUAGUUUUUUGUUAAUUUAUUUCAAUUACUUCCUCUGCCUCAUCACUAAUUUUUAAUUCCUUCCAGAAGCUAUUUUCUGAAUGAAAGAGUGGAGGUACCAGGAUGGUCUCCUUGAAUGAUGGCUGGAGCCUGUUAUGAUAAUGUCACUACUAUAUGUUUGUCUUCUGGAAUAUCUUUUGGAAAUUAUGAUGCCAUUAGCCAAGAAUCUGCUGGUAAUGCAAGAAUGUCAUGUGUGGUUUCCUUAGGUGCCACAUUUGAUUAUUAAUUUGAGAUCUUUCUAACUUAUUGAUGAAGGCAUUUGG
rnacentral:lncRNA from 13 species